CCAGUGAGGAAGCAACAGUGGAGGCAGCUGAACAGCAAUUUUCCAUUCCAGAAAUGGCAGAUUUCAUGACAUGACAAGCAUCCCAGAGCCUUGAGCUUUCAUCCAUGUAUUCAUCCAACCAUUUUCCUCCACCUGGAUUGGUGAAGCUCAUCGAGUCCUUGUGCAAGAAAGUUGUAGAAACCAUUGACAGAAGAGGGGUUACAUGAAGAACCCAUCAGUAUUAUCGAGGGUAGGACAAUAUAGAAGUUAAAAAAAAAAAAAAAACAGGAGAGAGAGGGUCUAGCGGGGAAGAAAAGUGACGAAGAUUGAUGGGUGUAUAUAUAUAUAUAUAAUUGGAAGGUUAAAGAAUCAAAGAAUUUGGUAGCUUAAUAGCAGAGGUUUUCCAUGGGGAAAUCAAGAUGCUGCUGGGUGCAAUCAUGGGUGUUUCCUGUACAGUGGAGGGGAUGAUUGAGAAUCUGCUGUUUUUAUUGUGAAACGGGCUGGCUGUAUCCUGGUAAAGUGAGGCAAAGAGAAAACAAAAGAAAAAGAAGUGUCUUAGAGAGAUAAGUCAUGGGGAAAAAAGAUGUGCAGAAUGAAAACUAAAAUGUUUUUUUCCCCCUCCCUUUGUAGUUAAUUAUUCCUUCAGCUUCAAGGACUGACUCAGUUGGGUAAAAAUGGCACGAAGGAAAAUGAACAUUCAUGAAGCUCUUUUAAAUAGGAUAUGUUAGAUUAUGUUUCCUGGGUGCAAAAGUUUGACUACUUUAACAAAGAUUCUGCUUCUCAUGUUUCCAUUUUGAUUCGGUUUCUCUGAUCUUU